GAUAAACGCUGGCGGCGUGCCUAAUACAUGCAAGUCGAUCGCUGGAGUUCUAGCUUGCUAGAGCGAAGGAGAGGCGAACGGGUGAGUAAUACAUAAGCAACCUGCCCACGAAGACUGGGAUAAUUCCUGGAAACGGGGACUAAUACCGGAUAGGCAGCUUGAUCGCAUGAUCGGGCUGUUAAAGAUUCAAAGCACUGGUGGAUGGGCUUAUGGCGCAUUAGCUAGUUGGUGAGGUAACGGCUCACCAAGGCGAUGAUGCGUAGCCGGCCUGAGAGGGUGAACGGCCACAUUGGGACUGAGACACGGCCCAG
rnacentral:rRNA from 1 species